rnacentral:rRNA from 1 species
UAGCUGGUCUGAGAGGAUGGCCAGCCACACUGGAACUGAGACACGGUCCAGACUCCUACGGGAGGCAGCAGUGGGGAAUAUUGGACAAUGGGGGMAACCCUGAUCCAGCAAUGCCGCGUGUGUGAAGAAGGCCUGAGGGUUGUAAAGCACUUUCAGUGGGGAGGAGGGUUGAUAGGUUAAGAGCUAAUUAAYUGGACGUUACCCACAGAAGAAGCACCGGCUAACUCCGUGCCAGCAGCCGCGGUAAUACGGAGGGUGCGAGCGUUAAUCGGAAUUACUGGGCGUAAAGGGUGCGUAGGUGGUUUAUUAAGUUAUCUGUGAAAUCCCUGGGCUUAACCUGGGCAGGUCAGAUAARACUGGUAGACUCGAGUAUGG